UAGAUUUAACUAAAUUUUAAACUUUGAAAAAUAAAAAGAAAAAAUCCUAAAAGUACAAAAAGUAUAAAAACUUAAAACAUAAUUUAAAUUUUUAAUAUUUUUGAGCUAAAAUAGUUGUUAAAAGCUUAAUGAAUUAGAUGAAAAAAAAACAAGAGAAGGGUUGAUGCCUCUGUUCACCUCAAUGUAUAUAUAAAUAUAAAUGGAAACACGA
rnacentral:lncRNA from 1 species